ensembl:lncRNA
UCUCCACUGGUGUGAACUCAGGAUUCCGCAUUAGGUCCUGGAAAGCUGUGCAGCUUUUAACCACAGCUCUUGUUGUGAGCAGUUUUUUUCUGUUUUCUGCAUUUUCUAAUGAAUUUGCCCUCAACGCAGUCACAUUUGAAUGACGCUGAGGAUGGCCAGAGCGAGGCAUGCUUUGGAGUACACCAGCUUCUACCACAGUGGCACCUACACACUCAAACACCCCACACCUUGUCAGGAGCUGCCAGAGAAGAACAGGGCAGUACCUGAAGACACUGUACCACUCCAAACCAUAACCUCAGUGACACCUGCUGUCAUCACCCCAGUGCCACCUCCAUCGCUGCCCUCACCGGCACCCCCUCCACUGCCACUCCCCCCACCUCCUGUCCUACCACGUCCACCUCUUCACCCUCCAGUUUCUCUCCCUCCAACACCCCCUGUCCUGUCACUCCCUCUUCCCGUGCCUGUCAUCCACACCACCCCGCCCAGCCCUCACCUGUCAUGGGGUGCCUGCUCAGAUGCAGAUGUUUAUUCUCGGAUUGGGACUUUCAGGCCAUCCAGGCUUUCCAACCUCUCCAACCAGUCGACAGUCAUCCUGUUUGAACACUCAUCUGUUUGAACUCUCACAGAAUGUGUGUGAUCUCCUCAAGGAGUCUGUGACUGUGACAAGGAUUACAAGAUGUUUCCUGUACUCUAUGUUUGUGUGUGUAAUAUACAGCAAAAUAUAAGAGGUUAACGUUUCAAAACUUUAAAACAUGAAGUUUGCACUUUGUCAGCCACUGAAGGGCUUUAUUGACAAAAAAAAGAAAGAAAAAAGCAGAUGCAAUAAAAUUGCAAUUUAAUUAAAAACACCUCUAUUAUAACCAUGUUUUUUUCUUAACUGGAUUGUGACGUCAGGAGGACAGAUGAAACCCUCCACUUGUCCAAG